AUUGUGAAUUUCUGCCAAAAUCAUGUAGCAUCUCUGGCUGGGGAAGUACAGACAGGGAAAUAAAACAUAUGCCUCCUGUAUUCAUGGAAGUCAAUGUAACAUUCAUUGACAAUGAGUGGUGUCAUAAGGAAAACUCGUACUGCUGAGGGAGAGACUGGACCGGGGGGACUCUGGAGGUCCAUUGGUCUGCAAGGGUGGGAUGGCAAAUGGUGUGGUGUCGCAGGCUUCAAACCAACAAAAAUCUAUUGUUAUUCCAAGAUUCCUGACUACAGACGCUGCAUUGAUUCAAUUAUGAAGAAUCAUGACAUGUAACUGAUUGAUAAAAUCAUAACAGUUGGAUUCACAGUUUGUAUAGAGAGCUGUUAAUUGAGAUGCUAAUAUCAAGACUGAUUCCAUUGCACUGAGACGGUUUGCUUCACACAGAUGUAAUCCUAUCCUUUACUUUGAUGUUACCAAAUGAUACAAAUAAAUCUGUUUCAAAACAUGGAAAAUAUACAAA